AACUAACGCUGGCGGCGUGCCUAACACAUGCAAGUCGUACGAGAAAGCCGGCUUCGGCUGGUGAGUAAAGUGGCGCACGGGUGAGUAACGCGUGGAUAAUCUGCCCUUAAGUGUGGAAUAACGUACCGAAAGGUGCGCUAAUACCGCAUAAUGCCUGGCAACACAAGUUGUCCGGCCAAAGAAGGCCUCUGUUUACAAGCUUUCGCUUCAGGAUGAGUCCGCGUACCAUUAGCUUGUUGGUGGGUAAUGGCCUACCAAGGCUGCGAUGGUUAGCUGGUCUGAGAGGAUGAUCAGCCACACUGGAACUGAGACACGGUCCAGACUCCUACGGGAGGCAGCAGUGAGGAAUAUUGCGCAAUGGGGGCAACCCUGACGCAGCAACGCCGCGUGAGUGAGGAAGGUUUUCGGACUGUAAAGCUCUGUCGAGCGGGAAGAAGUGUACCAUGGCUAAUAUCCAUGAUAUUUGACGGUACCGCUAGGG
rnacentral:rRNA from 1 species